rnacentral:misc_RNA from 1 species
UUUGAAUAUUUAUUCAUUUCAUGAUCUUCGCAAAUUUUUCAAAAAAAAUUUGCUGUCGCGAUGGGCUGUUUUCGUUACGUUACAGCUGUUACAAGUACGUUUUCGUUACUCGCGAUCGCUACCACAAUUUAAAACCAUGAUCUCUAAUCUAGCUAUAAAUUGUUUAAUACUAAUGAUAUCUAAAUAUGAUAAAUUUAAUGUCUUUAUU